GUGCUCACUUCGGCAGCGCAUGUACUGAAAUUGGAAUGAUACAGAGAAGAUUAGCAUGGUCUCUGCACAGGAUGACACACAAAUUCAUGAAAAAAUAUGCUAAACCCAUUUCU
rnacentral:snRNA from 1 species